CCCUACGGGAGGCAGCAGUAGGGAAUAUUGGGCAAUGGGCGCAAGCCUGACCCAGCGACGCCGCGUGAGGGAUGAAGGUCUUCGGAUUGUAAACCUCUUUCAGUAGGGAAGAAGCGAAAGUGACGGUACCUAAAGAAGAAGCACCGGCUAACUAUGUGCCAGCAGCCGCGGUAAUACAUAGGGUGCAAGCGUUGUCCGGAAUUAUUGGGCGUAAAGAGCUCGUAGGUCGUUUGUCGCGUCGAUUGUGAAAAUCUGAGGCUCAACCUCAGACCUGCAGUCGAUACGGGCAAACUAGAGUGUGGUAGGGGAGACCGGAAUUCCUGGUGUAGCGGUGGAAUGCGCAGAUAUCAGGAGGAACACCAAUGGCGAAGGCAGGUCUCUGGGCCAUAACUGACACUGAGGAGCGAAAGUGCGGGGAGCGAACAGGAUUAGAUACCCUGGUAGUCCGCACCGUAAACGGUGGGCACUAGUUGUGGGAACCUUCCACGGUUUCCGCGACGCAGCAAACGCAUUAAGUGCCCCGCCUGGGGAA
rnacentral:rRNA from 1 species